rnacentral:rRNA from 1 species
AUUGAACGCUGGCGGCAGGCUUAACACAUGCAAGUCGAGCGGGGACUUCGGUCCUAGCGGCGAACGGGUGAGGAAUGCUUGGGAAUCUGCCCAGUAGCGGGGGAUAACGUUUCGAAAGGAACGCUAAUACCGCAUACGCCCUACGGGGGAAAGGGGGGGAUCUUCGGACCUCUCACUAUUGGAUGAGCCCAAGUCGGAUUAGCUAGUUGGUGGGGUAAAGGCCUACCAAGGCGACGAUCCGUAGCUGGUCUGGGAGGAUGAUCAGCCACACUGGAACUGAGACACGGUCCGGACUCCUACGGGAGGCAGCAGUGGGGAAUAUUGGACAAUGGGCGAAAGCCUGAUCCAGCCAUGCCGCGUGUGUGAAGAAGGCCUUCGGGUUGUAAAGCACUUUAAGCGAGGAGGAAUGGCUCUUGGUUAAUAACCUUGAGCAGUGACGUUACUCGCAGAAUAAGCACCGGCUAACUCUGUGCCAGCCGCCGCCGUAACAC